GUAAAUCCUCAGAUUUUAUGUUAUGCCAAAUGUCUUAAUGUUCUGCACAUGUAUGUUCAAUAUUUAUGCUCAUUUUCGAAAACAUGCCAAGGGUUACCAAUUUGGAUAUAUAGCCUGAAUAUUCCCUUGUAUUUGUCAACAGCCAAGCUCAACGUAGUAAGGAAUUCAGUACACUCUAGUCCAUCCAAUCAAUAAUUGUUGAUAGCUGGCUCGCUAUUCA
rnacentral:misc_RNA from 1 species